GUAGGGGAAACAAGCGAUACGUAGCUAGUUAGAGGUGAAGUUAGCUACAUGGGGGCGUCUUCCGUGCAAGUGGAAAAAUACCACGGCAAGUAAACUAACAAAGACAGACAGACAGCAGGGUUGAUGUUUGUCAUCAAGUUUUUGUGUCCCGGCGGGUGGCUGUACUUACCAGAAUCAGAGAGGGCUCUGUUGGAACCUCCAGGCAGGCUGUCAAUCGAGGCUGAAGGCAGGCUGCUGCUCCCCAGGCCACAGAGACUGUAGGACAGGCUCUCUACGGAGCCCUGCUGGCUACUCCGGUCCAGCUCCACACUGCUCUGACUCAUCUUACCAGACACCCUGCAGAGAGAGGAACAUAGAGACUGACUAACUAUAUCGCAUCCUGUCUGGAUGUGAAUAAGACAGUAUGGCCACUCCAUUAGAAACGAUUGCAGAGCAAUCUGAGAUGGUGGGUAUAUCAAGGCUUGCGGAAAUCACAUGGAAUGACCUACUAAGGAUGAAAGGACUGCAUCAAAAGAAUCACCUCACACAAGGACCUCCCAGUGAGGACGUUUGUUUGGUUCCUCACAGUGAUCAAAGAACUGAUGAUGAUGAUUCCCGUCGUCAGGAGGACAGACUUCUCAACCAUCUGGUUCUUUAAUGAUUCAUCACGCAAAAAUGCUGCCUCAUCAGGGUUUGGUUGGUUUGCCUGUUUUCCUCCUUCUCAGCCUUGUGGAAGCACCACUGCAUCACUGUAUGUGUCUCAAAUGGCACCCUAUUCCCUAUGGGCUCUGGUCAAAAGUGUAGGGAAUAAAGGGCCAUUUGGGACACACAAACUGUCUGUCUUCCACUUUCCUGUGUUACACUCUUCUCAAAGGCUUUCUAAGACACUUUGUCUCUGUGGGAUUAAAGUCUGAGUUUCCGGAAUUAUAUUGGGUGAACUGUGAGCUGUGAAGUUGAAUCUGUUGUCUUCUGGCUGUUUCUUAGCAGAAGACAGAGAGGGGAGAUCUUGUGAAGCUGACAGAGCUUCAUUAUUCAGGGAAAGUUGACUGUAAAGUCUAUGUGAGGGUUAAUGUGACUCUGAGGCAUGUUGUUUAAACACGGGAAGAGCUGGCGUGGCAGUUCAUGCCGAGUCCUACUGUGCGCUAUAACAGUUAAGCUCCCGGAAAACAAAUACGAAACGGAAUACCCCAAAGCAUAACGGUUGCUAGGGCAAGGCAUGUUCCCGCAUGUGUCUCUAGAAAGAGUAUUUGUAUCAGUAGCAGCAUGCUAGCAAUGUCAUAAUAUAAUGGGACAGAUGCAUCAGCUUACUGGUAUUACAACAAAAAUAAGGGUCUGGGAAAUGCAAUCAGCAACAGGGGUUCUCGAGUUCCCUACAGCCAGCCAAAACAAAAGCCCCUGCUUUGACUCAUUUGUGGCAUAUUGAAAAGUUUCAAAUGUCAAACUUUAAGUUGCCAAAUCAUUAAGAGGUAGAAAAGUGUCUGGGAUUAUCCUGAUCCCUCAAUGACCCUUGCUGCCCAAUAACGUAGCCUAAUGCUGUAUGGGUUUGACACCCUUUUAACACACGUUAA